AGACCUUGGUUGUGGAAAAACCAAAACUGCUGGUGUUUGAUUUAUCACUGCAUUUUAGACAAUUACGCGAGGAAUGAGUAGCAUAUACAAACAUAGCAGCUGCUCAUCAUCUGCUGAUGUCUUCUCAUGGGCAAAGAGGCAGAGAGAUGUGGCCUCAGCUUUCAGACUGAAAGGCAACAGUUUUUUUUUUUUUACCUUCACCAGUUUCUUUCAGGCAUGAUUCACGCACGUUUUAACUUUGCAAAGAUUGAAAACAUUCAGGCUAACAGAGGUGUUUUUAUUCCACGGCGGUCCACUCAUAUUUGUCAGGAGUUCAAACUUUUGCCAGAGUCCACAGUCGCAUGGACCCUGCCAGUCCACAUCUGUUUAUAUGGAGGGGCAGCGUGGGUUUAUUAUUGCGUCAGUCACGCCAUCACCCUGCGCAGUUUGGGGCCUUUGACGUUUACUGAGCGGAUGGCAAGAAGAGGGGGCAGAGUUUGUUUUUAAUCUGUUCCUUUCUGAUCCAGGAGCUAAAAAUACAAAACCGCUGAGAUUUUUUGUAAACAUGCACUAAAAUCCUCCUGUCUCUCUAGGAAUGACCUUCCAGACAUGGUGUUUCUUGAAUAGUUCAAACCCAAGCGCUGCAGCAUUGUCACACACCACACUGGUUGCCAUGGAGAAAUAGUCCUCCUGGUCUCCAAGGGCUGGGUGUCACAGCGCCUGCCUGUCUGUCACCAGGAGACUCUCAACUAACGACAGAUGAUUAGGCAAAGGAGUUUGAGUUUUCUCACCGGUGCUCUUUUGGGCUGAAGAGAUACAGCAAAAUACACUGUAGGUUGUGUGAACCUGUGAGAGCUGUAAGGUGAUCCACUUGACAAGGGACAACAAAAGAAACUGAAUGUUUUUUUUUCUAAUGGAGGAAGAGCUCAUGCAAACGUGGUGGGAGAGGUUUCGGAAACUGUGACUGUGCUUUGUCAGCGCAUGGGUGCAAAGCAAGAGUGAAGAAAAAGUGAAAAUGAGUCAUAACAAACAGGCUGACAUGCUGAGGCAGCAGACCGAGUUGACACUGAUUCGCUGGCAAAAGUGAGUUUGUAGGGUUCAUUAGAAAACUCUCCCAGUGUGUGCUGAGGUAGGAAACUCAAAGGAGAUGACGAGCUCAGAUUGGGACCAAAAAAAAAAACCCACUUUUAAACAAAAGUGACUUGGACACACACACACACACACCCAUGUAUCUGUGAAAUGAAAGAGCCAAGGGGGAAAAGAGGAAGCGGGUGGGUUAUAGGGGAGGAGGAGGGGAAGACUGUGGGAUAGAGGCAGUAGGGAAGCGAGAGGAGGCCUGGAGUGAAUCCAGGGGAACUCCAGACUGCUGUUACCCAACAUGCUCUGCUUCAGCAGAGGCUGGGAGACUGACUGCCUCCGCUGGCUGGAAAGCAGGGAGGGGGUAGCAAACACACACAGCCCAUAUUCACGUACCCUCUUUAAAACACACAGCACCGUGGCUGUGUCGCCAUAGUAACACACUGACCCUAGCCUUUAAGUCCCAAGCCUGAUCUCCUGCCGAGCUCUGAGCGUUGGGGUGGAGUAAAUCUGCCUAUUUAUAGCAGGCCCUCUGGCUCAGAUUUACAAGUGACAACAUGAGAUAAUAUCCGUUCCCCAAAAUCCCACCACAUCGACUUCACCUCACAUCCACGUCCUCAACAUGAGCAAAGAGACAGGAAUGGUGUUAGCGAGGGAUAAAGGGGAGAUAAAUGAGAGAGAGUGGGCUCAAGGGAGGAAAUGAGAUGUUAUGGGCUCAUAUUUUCUCUUAAACGAUGUGAUUCUGCAGUUCCUGACAGUAAAUGUGUACAUGUAUAUAUAAGUGAGACCAGGCUUUGACCACGGUUGUGUUAUUGGCUUCAGCUGCCAGUCAGAUGGAGUGAGCAGAGGCACUCGCAGGCAGCAGCAGCAGCGUUCAAUCUUGGCCCGAGUAAAAAAAAAAAAAACACUCAGCCUAACUGCAGUCCAAAUACAGAGGUUUGUUUCCAGCCCCCAUCAUGUCAGCUAAGUGUGCAGCCAGCGCACAGUGGAGGGUUCAGUCUAGGCCUCACAAUACCAAGGACACACAAUACUCUCGCUCCAGAAAAAAUGACUGAUAUUGAUACUGCGUCUCCUUUCCAGAUAAAUUCCUGAACAUGAUCCAACUUGUUAAGCCGUGUCAACCAGUGUGUCCUCUCACUUGAUUUAGUCUCAAACUCUCUCGCUUUUUUUAACUUUUACAUAUUUAGCUAGAAUUUGUGUAAUUUUCCUCUGCAUUUUCCAUUCAUUUUGCAACAUUUUUUCACUUCUUUAUUUACAGCGAAAGGCUGUGUGCAGUUCCUUUUUCUUUGUCCCUAAGUCAUGAGAUGCAGAUGUAGUCAAAUCAACUGGUUGUAUUCUAUUUUCACAGUUAUGUGUGUCACCAAAGGAGAGCAGUUUGUGAGGAAACAGACAUCUGUGAACUAGCCUCCAAGAGUGGAGAGACUUCACAUUUUUCUGACACCAUAACUGAUAAGUAAAAGGUUGACCUGUCCCAAUGGUGCUGGAUCUGGAUCAGGUGUAAAUCUGUCUGAUCUCAGUUCACUCUUGAGAUCAUUACUGUGUCUCACCCUCUGAAUCUCUUGACUUGGUUAGCUUGUUGUUAAUUGGCUUAGGCUGUUUCCUUUGUGGCCGACUGCGUCAUGAACUUAGACCUCACCCCAGACAUAAGCAUGUUAACAUGGAUGCGUAUAAAUAGCUAUGAGUAGCUAAAUUGAACCUCUACAAGAGUAGAAAAAAGUAUUUUGGGCACCUCUGAUCUUGUUAUUGGUGUUAAAUUUAGCUCCUGUGGUGAUCAGUGUGAAGUGGAAACAGUGACAGGGACCUGUUUUGCCACAACAUACUUCCUGUUCUGCGCUGAGUAGUGAGAAAACCGCAAGCUAGAGACGUAACACUCGGAAAAAAAGAAAAAGAGAGCACCAAAGAGGUGAGGAAACUCAGCAAUGAGGAAGUUGUGGCUUCAUUUGAAAAAGGAAAAUUGUUGACUAAAUUAUAAGUGGAUACUGUAAGAAAACUGCAAAGGUUCCAUUGCGUGGACUUUCCCCUUAAUGAUAACAAUAUAGACAGUAAUGAUAAACAACAUGCCGAUACAAAGACAGCUCAUAUUAUCAUUGGAAAAAUAGUUAUUUCACUCACACAGACCAUUUUUGUUCAUUUUUUUCAACUCGUGCUGUUUAGAUAAAUCUCAUUCUUCAUUGACUAUUGUCUGCAUUGACCUCUACUGAUCUUAGAGCACACAGCAGAUUACACAGCAGCCAUCCACAAUGACAACAAAGGACUAUGUUCAGUGGAGACAAAAGUGGUGCGGUGCUUUAAAAGCCUGUGAAUUAAGAGACACAUUUCUAAAGCCAAUUUAAUUACAUAAACAGUUUAUCCCCAUGAAUGAAUUUAUAAGACUGUGUAAAUGCUGCCCACAUUGUACGUAUCAUUUUGAGUUGUUGCAUUAUAUUUAUAGCCAUGACCGCAUGCCGGUGGUGGUGGAGGAAAGUGCAAAAUGAGUGUAAACGGGAAAUUUUCUUUUGUUGUUUAUUUGUGUCAGUUACCCUAAAAUACACAGAUGAAGGUGGGCUCAUUGUUGUUUGCGUGGGAGUCGGAACACUGUAAGACCGAGAAGAUGUGUGUGUGUGUUUUCAUGCUGAAUGUUGGAGGGAAAAAAAGUGAUUUAAAAUGUGAAUUUUCAUUAUCGGCAACACUGAAAUCCAUGAAUCAUCUUCAUGAAUCAUCUGCACAGACACACUGCAUGAUCCAUCCAUGGAAAACACACAUUCAUGCACAUACUAUACAAAGUAAAGGAAGUUGUGUGGUGACCUCCUGGAACUGACAAAAAGUCAGUCAAGAACUUUGAAUAUUUGAAGAGUAUAAAUUGUUUCCAGGGAUUUUUUUUUCAUUUUCAUACAAGCCUCUACUCUACUGAGGACCAUUUUUCUCAGAAACAGGCAUCAAAUCAUGUAGAUCAAUACACUUUGGUCAAGACCCCAUCAAAACAUCCCAGUCAUUUGCUGCAGAGACAAAGUUGCCAUGGUGACCCCUUUACACCAGGGACAUAUGUAAGAAAUUAGAAAGUGUUUGUGUGUGUGUGUGUAUGGGAGAUGGGUAAAGAGCGAGCCAGCACACUGCCUUGACCUCCGGAGUCAGUCUUUCUUGUAAAUCUUGUUUGGUUCACUGCGACAGAACAGAAUAGUUGCUCAUUAUUCCUGUUGUGUGAGCUCAGCCCAGGGGGUGACAGCCGAGGUAAAAGAGUUUUCUCACAGGCUACAAGUGAUUCUCACUAACAAACGCACAAGCACAUGAAGAAAGUUAGCAGCGGAUAAAAGAGAGGUUCCGGGGUUAGAAGAAACGCAGGUAUAGCCACAGAAAUAAACACAAGAAAAACCUCAUUUGUCCAAGAUCUCCUUUGACAUCUUGUUAUGAGUAAUGCUAGAACUGAUCCUUGGGAUUUUUAAAAGCACUCACAGGUCAUGUAGGGACUUUUUCUUUUUACUUUCAUUUUGGCUUUAAUGUGUCCUUUUAUGUUUGUAAAAGCCAGUAAAGUUGAACACUUUUGGAUCACAGAAGCUCCUGAACAUUGUUGUCCAGACUUUUCUUCUCUUAUUUGUGCAUUUACAUUGUGCCACAGUAGUUGUGUUUUUUUAAACUAUACAAACCAUCACCUAUAAGGAAAUAACUAUAUCCCCACCAAAAACUCAAAUUUUUGCUUUCUCCCAUCUCACUUUAUGAACUUUUUUAUUAGCUCCAAAUCCAACAAAAAAACGAGGGGACACAACACACUUUUGGAAAGGCAUCAAGGAAUCAAACUUCUCUAGUUUCCAGUUUGGACCGAAAAAGACAAUAUAGACAUAAAAACGUCAAUACUUUCAGUAUUAAAUACUCAAUGAAACAUGAUCCACUGCAAAAAAACCAAAAAAACAAUUAAAUUUCUCCUUUUAGUAAAAAAAAAAAUAUAUUGCCCCCUACUGGUCAUACCUUUAAAAAUAGGUCUAAACUACUAUAAUUAUUUUUUAUUAAUUAAACCUAUGGCUACCCCUUUUAAUCAGUCUCUACCUAUUAUGUUUGCUGUAUGUAAUUUUCUCAGAAAGAUAAAGUUUGAUAUUUUUGCUGUUUUAUGCAACAAACUAUAAAUGCAAAAAUUUAAAAAACUCUCCUUGAUUAAAUAGUGAUCAUGCGGAGGGAAAAGAUACGAACACUUCUUGCACUGGUAUUUAUGGCCCCAUAACUUUGCCUGUAUAUGAACAUGCUGUGAGGCAGGUCAGGAGCAAGAAUGUUCCUGCCUUCAUACUUGUUGCCAGCUGAUGUCGGUCCUCUAAUCCCUCAGAUGCGGCCGCAGGGCUGGCAUGCUUGUUUGUCCAGGUGAUCGCCACCGUAGAGACAGAGGGGCUGACCGGUCUUGGCUCACUUUGUUACACCAGCUGUGCCAACUUUCCUUCAAGUAGAUGCUAAACGACGGCGACACGCGGACCACCUUCCUCUGCUGCAUACCGAGGGGCACAUGUGUUCAGGCCUGGGAAAAGACAAAAGCUCAGAAGCUGCACAGCCAUUUGGAAAUCAGGUGAUCUGAAAUCAGAUUUGCCGCCCCUCAAAUCCAACCACGUCAGUUUGAGGAAAGUUGAAAUAUCUGACCUGGCGUCAGUGCUGCAGAGCAGAGGGAGGGGGGCUUGUUGCUGGUGGGCUGUAGAGAAAAGAGAUUUGCAGAGACAGCCCAUAACAGCUCCCUUGGAACCAAUGACUCAGAUAUGCAGAUGUGUUUACUUCCCUUCCUCUUCCCACCUCAACCAACACGCGAAAGACAGGAGGAAUGAAAGCUCCUCAUAAUGUCUUAAGUGUUUCAUUUAUAUAUUUAUAUUCCGUCAGGAGAACUCCUUUUUUUUUCUUCUAAAACUUAGACAAGCACUUCAAAUGGGCUGUAUGCAUCCUCCCUCUAUUCUUUCAUUCCCUUCUGAGGGUUUUCAUCUUUUGUCUAAUGUGCAGCGCUGCUCUCUGUUAGUUUCUGUCUGACACCAUGCCAGCAGAAUCAUCUGCGAAGGGACUCAUGUAGGGAGUAAAAACCAUCAACAGCUCCCGCUUUAACAGAGAGGUUGGAGGAAAAGAAAUGCACAGAAAAAUGAAACAGUAAAAAAAAACGUACUCCAGACAGUUUUGAGAAAACUUGCAGGGAGAGAGAAUGCAGAUUGUCACCUGACCCCGAGGCAAGGCAGCUCUAAAUAUAAUAAAGAGAAGACAACAGAAGAAGGCGAGGCGACACGACACGGAUAAUGUGUUUUCUCUGCUGGUGUCGUCUGGCAGAUCUAGGAUGAUUGAGUGCUGUUGCCUGCCUGGGCUGCUUCAGAGAAGAUCAUCUACCCUCCCUCCCAGCUCUCAUGCACUGGCACAGCCUCUUACAUGCCGUGAUUCCUGCAUGCGCGCUUGGAUUCUCCUGAAGUGCCAAAAACAUCAAGGUGCAUUAACUGUCACCAUCUUCAGCAUCCUUUCACCACUUUUUUUUAUUUUCUUGGGGGGCGGCAAGGGAACAUUUAAUGCUAACUAUUUAUUUUUGCCGUGUGCUGUUGAGUGUUUUCUCUCGUUGGAUGUGUGUCCUAAUUAUGAAAGGGUUUAGUGAAUUAGGCCAAGAUGUGUUAUAGACUUUCAACUGCAUAAUCUGUUGAAUAAAUGUCAGCAGCAAACGCACAGGCAGAAAAAUCACACCUCCUUUCCUCACGGUGGGAUUUUUAAUAAGAGCUCCACAGGAAGUUGCUCUGGUGACAGUAAUCUAUAGUGGUAACUUAAAGAGUUUGCCUUUUAAUGUGUGAGCAUUUCUGUUUUCUCCUGUGUUGUGAAAUUGUCAGGGGCAGACGGAGACAAACAGGUGCGGCCUGGAGAGGAAGUUGAUUGGCCUGAUUCCAUGAUCCAUUUUCCCAAGACUUCCACACCCCUGCAGCUGUCCUCCUUAAUAUGAGAACCAUUUGUGCGCACGCACGUGCAUGCACGCGCGCUGACCGUGCAUGUGAGGGGUCAUGACAAAUUCACUCCAGCAAAACAAACCCGCAAAAAAUAAACUUGUGUUUGUGUAUAUUUACCUGAAACUUAGAAGACUUUUUAGUAAUAUUAAAGUUUGAAGUUCUCUGUUUGUGAAUGAGAUUUUCUGAUGUUCAAAGGGAAGUCAUAUAACAGGCUUUCGGCGCUUUUGGGCUGUGUCGUCGUGGCAGAAUGUUUUGAACUGAGCGGUGACAGCCUCUGCCUAACUGAAGAGUCUACCUCAACUCACUUAAUUUCUAUUAGAAAACACUUCUGCUAUCUUUCAAGCUGCUUGUGUCUCUCAUCCACCUCUCUCCGAGGCUGCAGAUCACUAGAAAAAAAUAGGGAAGGGAACAUGAAUAAAAACUGAAUGUGCACUUCUUAAAUAUGUCUCUUGAUGCUCCUGAGAUCUUUAAGGCUUCAUCACAAAAAAAUGCUGGGUUACUUGUAAAAACUGAAGACACCUUGACUUUUCCGAAUUGAGUUCAUAUGACCUGUACAAGAAAACUCACCUUUAUAAAGGCUUCUCUUUUUCAUUGGUCUGCACAUUUUGAUCUUGUUUUGUUCUGUCCUCUCUUUGAUGUUCAGGUAAGUUUUGUUUUUGAUUUUUCGCAUGAUUAAAAAUUAAAAAAAGAUUUUU